GACGAACGCUGGCGGCGUGCUUAACACAUGCAAGUCGAACGGAAAGGCCCUGCUUUUGUGGUUUGCUCGAGUGGCGAACGGGUGAGUAACACGUGAGUAACCUGCCCUUGACUUUGGGAUAACUUCAGGAAACUGGGGCUCAUACCGGAUAGGAGCUCCUGCUGCAUGGUGGGGGUUGGAAAGUUUCGGCGGUUGGGGAUGGACUCGCGGCUUAUCAGCUUGUUGGUGGGGUAGUGGCUUACCAAGGCUUUGACGGGUAGCCGGCCUGAGAGGGUGAACGGCCACAUUGGGACUGAGAUACGGCCCAGACUCCUACGGGAGGCAGUAGUGGGGAAUAUGGCACAAUGGGCGGAAGCCUGAUGCAGCAACGCCGCGUGCGGGAUGACGGCCUUCGGGUUGUAAACCGCUGUCGCCUGUGACGAAGCGUGAGUGACGGUAAUGGGUAAAGAAGCACCGGCUAACUACGUG
rnacentral:rRNA from 1 species